UUAUCGGCCCUUUUCAGGGCCACCAAAAUUUUAAAGAAAUUGACC
rfam:Daphnia magna strain Xinb3 scaffold01581, whole genome shotgun sequence.